rnacentral:sRNA from 1 species
GCCAGGUACAGUGGUGCACGCCUGUAAUCCCAGUGGCUCUGGAGGCUGAGACAGGAGGAUUGCGAGUUCAAAGACAGCUUCAGCCACAGCGAGGCACUAAGCAACUCAGUGAGACCCUGUCUCUA